rnacentral:rRNA from 1 species
UACGGGGGGGGCAAGCGUUGUUCGGAAUUACUGGGCGUAAAGGGCUCGUAGGUGGCCAACUAAGUCAGACGUGAAAUCCCUCGGCUUAACCGGGGAACUGCGUCUGAUACUGGACGGCUUGAGGUUGGGAGAGGGAUGCGGAAUUCCAGGUGUAGCGGUGAAAUGCGUAGAUAUCUGGAGGAACACCGGUGGCGAAGGCGGCAUCCUGGACCAAUUCUGACACUGAGGAGCGAAAGCCAGGGGAGCAAACGGG